UUCGUUGUUACUUACUUUACAGAGUCUCAGUGUCUUAAUACAAACUGCAUUAGUUUAUGAUAGUGACAAACAACAAUAAGAAGAUUCAACAGCAUAUAUGUAGGAAUUGGGAAGGGACGGAGUAGUUUUUAGCAAAUCUCUGUGGUGACGUCAGCAUGCCAGUCCUUCUGUAGUUAUAGAAAUGGCUUUGGGGGAAUAUGUGUCUCAAGGUGUGUGUACAUAUGACAUGAACAACAUCACUGAUGAGUUUGGCUAUCAACUAUUAAAAAUUCCAGCUUUUGACAGGUUUUCUUUUAAAAAAAUUUAUUGGUGUGACAUUGCAUAAUAAAAUGACAUAGGUUUCAGGUGUACAAUUCCAUAAUGCAUCACCUGUGUGUUAUAUUAUCCUGUGUUCCACUACCC